UUUUUUCAAGUGAUUAAUCAUGGAGUGCCACUGGAGCUGCGUCAAAAGACUGAGAAGGUGGCCAAAGAAUUCUUUCAUCUGUCACUGGAUGAGAAAAGGAAGGUGAAGCGAAACGAGGUGGAUCCUAUGGGGUUCUAUGAUAGUGAACAUACUAAAAAUGUUAGGGAUUGGAAGGAGGUUUUUGACUACUUGGUGUUGGACCCAACUCUGAUCCCUGCCUCAGCAGAUCCUGAUGAUAAAGAGCUGCGGACUUUGACCAAUCAAUGGCCUCAGAACCCUUCUGAAUUCAGGGAGAUAUGCCAAGAAUACACCAAGCAAGUUGAAAAACUAGCUUUCAAGUUGCUGGAACUUAUUUCUAUGAGCUUAGGCUUACCAGCUGAUCGUUUGAAUGGCUACUUCAAGGACCAAAUCAG
rnacentral:misc_RNA from 1 species